CUUUUGCCAACUUCUAUUUAAAACCUAAACUCUUCACAUAAAUCCUUUCAUAUUUUCCAAAGUUUUAUAAUUUCAUAAAUUUACAACUUCAUAAUACUUUAUAUUCUUAAUUUUUUUUAGAACUCAAGAAUACCGAGUUACGAUCCUAUUGAGCGGAUCCUUUUCAAGUAAGGUCGAUAUAUUCUUAAUUCUUAUUGUAUUAAACGUACAUUCAACGAAAAUGAGUGAUCCCAAGUAUGCUUAUCCCUAUUCUUCUCAAGGCUACUAUCAAGGUCCUCCGGUAAUGGCGCCACCUCAAUAUCAAUAUGCUCCACCGCCACCGCCACCCCCUCAGAAAGAUCAAGGUUUUCUUAAAGGAUGCCUUGCAGCUCUAUGUUGUUGUUUUGUCCUGGAUGAAUGUUGUUGUGAUCCAACAAUUAUUUGCAUCGAUUAAGAUUUUAAUUAUGGAGGAAAUUACAUUAGAUAUAUGAUUUCUUAAGUAGAGGCGUAGAGCUUACUCUAAGCUUGAUUUAUACGAAGUACGGAGUAUUAUCUAUGAUGUUACGUACAAUUUGAAUGAUGUAAUGUUGUUGCAUAAUCUUAUCAAGUGAUAUUCAAUGUACAUUGUUACUCCAUUAAUCAGAUUGUCCUAAAUUUCUUAA